UACGUAGGGGGCUAGCGUUGUCCGGAAUCAUGGGGCGUAAAGCGCGUGUAGGCGGUCCGGUAAGUCCGCUGUGAAAGUCGGGGGCUCAACCCUCGGAUGCCGGUGGAUACUGUCGGGCUUGAGUACGGAAGAGGCGAGUGGAAUUCCUGGUGUAGCGGUGAAAUGCGCAGAUAUCAGGAGGAACACCAAUUGCGAAGGCAGCUCGCUGGGACGUUACUGACGCUGAGACGCGAAAGCGUGGGGAGCAAACAGG
rnacentral:rRNA from 1 species